rnacentral:lncRNA from 10 species
UGCACUUACACAGACCUAAAUGGCAUAGCCCACUACACACCUAGGCUAUAUGGUACAUCUCAUGGCUCCUAGACUACAAAGCUGUGCAGCAUGUUACUCUACUGAAUACCAUAGGCAAUUGUAACACAAUGACUGUGCACUAUCUGAGGGCAAGGACAGCAUCUGACUUCCCACCGACACAGUUACUGCCAAGGGGAGGUGCUCAAUAAAGAUGUGUGGAAUGGAAUGAAUGAACAGAGGAAUGGAAUUGAACCAAUUUGGUACAAUAAAUUAUUGUG